GCACCAUUUUAGUUCACGUCAUUUUGCUUUAUAUUUACUGUGAGAGGAAAGCUAGAGAGCCAAUGCACUAAACUGAAGGCAGUGGACUGGAAUACCUACGGAAACUGGUGGACACACAAACUGUUGUCUUUGUUCUUCUCCUCAAGAGUGCAUGACUUUGAGCCUGCAACAACAGUUCCAUCAUGCUCUGCAGCAGCUCCUUACCAGCAGUUUUUACACGGGUCGAUCCUUCAGUAGGCUUCUGUGCCUAAGUCAGAUAGAUAUCUGGUAAAUGGUUGCUAUGUGUCUCAACUGUUUAGUGAGAAAACAAACAGAUACAAAAAUAAUAAUUUGUACUUGAUUAUGCAAAUAAUUGUGCCUGACUCCUGCUCUGCCCUUUUCGCUGAACUAGAUCCUCUUGUUUCUUAUAAUCAUUACAUUUUCCAGACCGAAGUAAGAAUUCGAGUUUCAAUAAUAGCGUUAAGUUUUAAAGAGGCUUACCAACAUUAAAUAGCAAAUCCACACAACAUUGCAAUGCCGUGUAUUUGAACGUAUACAAAGAGAAGGGGAUAGUUCUGAAUUAAAAGAUGUUUAUGUAAGAAUUAGAAUGUGCAACUGCC